rnacentral:rRNA from 1 species
UCCACGCCGUAAACGAUGGACACUAGUUGUUGGAUUAUUUCAGUGACUAAGCGAAAGUGAUAAGUGUCCCACCUGGGGAGUACGAUCGCAAGAUUGAAACUCAAAGGAAUUGACGGGGGCCCGCACAAGCGGUGGAGCAUGUGGUUUAAUUCGAUAAUACGCGAGGAACCUUACCAGGGCUUAAAUGUAAGUUGCAUUAGUUAGAGAUAGCUAUUUCUUCGGACUACUUACAA